rnacentral:rRNA from 1 species
UGUUGCGGUUAAAAAGCUCGUAGUUGGACUUGUGUCCCACGCCGUCGGUUCGUCGCCCGUCGACGUAACCGCACGGUCAAAAUUGAACAGUGGGACGUCCAGCCGGUGGAUCGCCCGGUCGGGACGUACGAGGAGUCGCGCGUUCCACCUCGGCGCCGUGCUCGCGUGCGCCCGCCCGCCCCGCCCACGCCCACCGGCGUCCGCCCUCCGAGCCCGUUUGCGCGGUGCCUCGGUUGAGGCGUMGUCGGCUGUGGCGCGCGGCGUGCGGUCGGCGCGCGGCGUGCGCUUGCCUCCGACGUCGGGGUCGCCGGCCCCUCAGUCCCGGUGCCGGAUCCAUUUUACUCGUCUCGGUGCUCUUGAUCGAGUGUCUUGACGGGCCGGCUCGUUUACUUUGAACAAAUUAGAGUGCUUAAAGCAGGCGCAUUCACGCCCGAAUAUUGUGUGCAUGGAAUAAUGGAAUAGGAUCUCGGUCUUAUUUUGUUGGUUUUCUGGACCGGAGAUAAUGAUCAAUAGAGACUGACGGGGGCAUUCGUAUUGCGACGUUAGAGGUGAAAUUCUUGGAUCGUCGCAAGACGAACCGAAGCGAAAGCAUUUGCCAAGCAUGCUCUCGUUAAUCAAGAACGAAAGUUAGAGGUUCGAAGGCGAUCAGAUACCGCCCUAGUUCUAACCAUAAACGAUGCCAACUAGCGAUCCGCCGGUGUUCCUCCGAUGACCCGGCGGGCAGCUUCCGGGAAACCAAAGUGUUUGGGUUCCGGGGGAAGUAUGGUUGCAAAGCUUGAAACUUAAAGGAAUUGACGGAAGGGCACCACCAGGCAGUGGAGCCUGCGGCUUAAUUUGACUCAACACGGGAAACCUCACCAGGCCCGGACACUGGAAGGAUUGACAGAUUGAUAGCUCUUUCUUGAUUCAGUGGGUGGUGGUGCAUGGCCGUUCUUAGUUGGUGGAGCGAUUUGUCUGGUUAAUUCCGAUAACGAACGAGACUCUGGCCUGCUAACUAGUCGCACAAACAAUGACGACAUCCGCAUUCGUGCUGUCGGCGACAAAUCAAUACUCUUCUUAGAGGGACAGGCGGCUUCUAGCCGCACGAGAUUGAGCAAUAACAGGUCUGUGAUGCCCUUAGAUGUUCUGGGCCGCACGCGCGCUACACUGGAGGCAUCAACGUGUGUCCGCCCUUGACCGAGAGGUCCGGGUAACCCGCUGAAACGCCUCCGUGCUAGGGAUCGGGGCUUGCAAUUGUUCCCCGUGAACGAGGAAUUCCCAGUAAGCGCGAGUCAUAAGCUCGCGUUGAUUACGUCCCUGCCCUUUGUACACACCGCCCGUCGCUACUACCGAUUGAAUGAUUUAGUGAGGUCUUCGGACCGUCGCGCGGCCAAGGCCCACGCCCUCCGGGACGCGCGGCCCGUCGAUGUUCGACGGAAAGAUGAUCAAACUUGAUUAUUUAGAGGAAGUAAAAGUCGUAACA